GGCGGCGGGAGCAACGGGGCAGCGCACGCAGCCGCAGGAAGAGCCACCGGGAGCCACGGCGGGACCGGCAGCCCGCCCGCCGCCGAGCUCGGCGCGGAGAAUCGGCACAUCCCCGUUCCGCCGGGGGCGGCUCUGCCAACCCCCCCGCCGCCUCCCCUCCUCCCUCCCUCCCUCCUUCCCUCCUUCCUUCCCUCCCCGCCCCUCCUGAGUGACAUCCUUGUGAGUUUGCCUCGCUGCCCGCGCCCGUCGCUGGGCGCUCGCCGCCGCAUCUCCCUCUUCAUCAACUCCUGCGAGCCGCCGGCGGAGGGCAGGGACCAGAAGUUGCGGCCAGCCCGGGUGGAAAAGUAGCGGCAGAGCGGAAGAGGCCGGAACCGAGCGCAACCCGGCCCAGCCGAGCGGGGCCGGCACGGCCCCCGCCAGCCGCAGCCCCCGGCCGGGGGCGGGCCCGCGCUCCGACCAGAGCGACGCAGCCCCGCGGGAACCGGCGCCGACCCGUCGCGAAAGAACCUACAUGCGAAGUGAAAGGAAACCUGAAACUGCUCUUACAAGAAAGUAUUGGCUUUCUGCCUUUUUCGCAUGUUUUCCUUUUGCAUCAUAAUGGAAGGAGCAGGAUUUUUUGAAUCAUCGAGGCCAAAUUUGGGACUUGAAAAUAUGUCAAUAUGACUCUUAAUCCAGAUCCAUCAUUCACAAACGGAGAGGAAUAGUGGUUAAAAGCACUGCAGUUUCAUCAAAAGGAUCUAAUGGAGGAUCUAUGUUGAUUUUUUUUUUUUAUUGCUUUCCUUCCAGCCCCCCAUGAAUCCCAAAAGAGAAAGAUGGAAAGAGUGUGUAAGGAAAAUGAGAAAAGGCAGAGACUGAAGACCAUAACUUCGAUUUUGGAGUCUAUUUUCCAGAUGUUGUAUAUUCCCUAUUUUAUCAAAUAUAACACAUUGUUUUGAAUAAAUUGUAUCAUUUUGUGAUCAGUAGAGUAUUCCUCAGCUCUAAAAGUGGAAUUUGGCCUGAUUGAAAGCUUUUUAAAAAAGCAGACAUCUGACUCCAGUUCCCUUUUCAGAUCAUGCUUUUCAAGUUACCAAGAGAUAGUGCUUCCGUCUGUUACUGUGCAGUCAACCCGUGCUUUAAAUGCAUAUCUUAGAGAUUUCACUUUUUCCCUGAUUUUAGUGUUUAUUCUUGUGGUGUUGUAUUUGAGAAGAGUGUGAAGAGACAAGGCACCUGAGGUUUAACUUUUCAAGAGCCUUGUCAUUUCAAUGUUGUGUCUCAGAUUACAAGUAGUCUGAGCCUUUGUUGUAAUGCACAGUAUACAAUAAGUCUUUUCUCAUAAAAAUAUGCCUUAAGAUAUUAUUUUUUUAACAAACUGGAUGAAAGUUUGAUAUCUGAACACUGUUUUGUGAAGAAAUGCAUGCCUGGGGAAGAGGAGCUGCCUAAUGGAUCAUGGCUCUGAUGUUCACGGGGCAUACUCUGUUUCUAGCAUUAAUGGUCUUUGAUGUCUUCACUUCUGAAGAAUCUGUAGGCAAUUACUCUGAUUGGGUGACAUUCAUGGAAAAUGUAGAUCAAUAUGAAAAACAGCAACUUGAGG
ensembl:lncRNA